AUUGAACGCUGGCGGCAGGCCUCACACAUGCAAGUCGAACGAGUGGCGGACGGGUGAUUAAUGUCUGGGACACUGCCCGAUGGAGGGGGAUCACUACUGGAAACGGUAGCUCAUACCGCAUACCAUCAGAUGUGCCCCGAUGGGAUUCGCUAGUUGGUGGGGUACCGGCUCACCCAGGCGACGAUCCCUAGCUGGUCUGAGAGGAUGACCAGCCACACUGGAACUGAGACACGGUCCAGACUCCUACGGGAGGCAGCAGUGGGGAAUAUUGCACAAGGGGCGCAAGCCUGAUGCAGACAUGCCGCGUGUAUGAAGAAGGCCUUCGGGUUGUAAAGUACUUUCAGCGGGGAGGCGUUACCCGCAGAAGAAGCACCGGCUAACUCCGUGCCAGCAGCCGCGGUAAUAC
rnacentral:rRNA from 1 species